GGAAAUGCUAUGCAGAGCUCUCCAUCAUGCAGAUCUAGGCUGGGACCUUGUGGUCACUGAAGUCUGACUUCCAAACAGCAAGUUGCAAUGCAAUAAAGUGAACUUGACUUCUGAGGCAAGGCUCCUGCCAGGGUUGCUUACAGAAAUGAUGAGACAAGGCACAGUUCCUGUCCCAGGGAGUGUCCGGUCAAGUCAGAUGAAAUGAUGCAGAUGUAACAAGCAGGAUUGCCAGGUGACAGCCUUGUUGUAAGCAAAGCAGGAAAACCUGGAUGGAUCUGGGAGCUGCAGUAUUGGUAGCAGAAAAAAUUAACUCACAC